AAGAUGCUUUGUAAAAUAUUUAAAUCACAUAAAAAGAAAAUCUAACAAUUAUAAUAAAAUAGUGGUAAGAAAAUAUCUGGCCUGUGAGGUGUGAGAGGCACGCCAAAAGACGCACUGUCCUAAAACCGUUGUUGCCUCCCCACGUGCAGGUAUUGGCGGUCAGCGACGGCUCCAAGAUACAACCCAAACGGCUCACAGCGGGCCUAAUCUACAGUGCACGUCUGUAGUAGGCAGAUUACCAAGUCUAUAUCGGUUGCCCAAUAAUAUAGAAAAUUGUAAAAGAGAGAAUGGUGGUAGAGAGAAACAAUGAGAGGAAGAAGAAGGGUUUUGUAUUGUAUAUAU
rnacentral:lncRNA from 1 species